GGUCCCGGCCGUGACUGGCGAGGGUGGGGCACCACCGGGGAGCGGCCGAGGCCGUCCACGAACGGGACGUCGCCCGCCUGGGCGUCCCGC
rnacentral:ncRNA from 2 species